GGCUGUCCGCAGCUACACAUGCAGUCGAGCGGGGGAAGGUAGCUUGCUACUGGACCUAGCGGCGGACGGGUGAGUAAUGCUUAGGAAUCUGCCUAUUAGUGGGGGACAACAUCUCGAAAGGGAUGCUAAUACCGCAUACGUCCUACGGGAGAAAGCAGGGGAUCUUCGGACCUUGCGCUAAUAGAUGAGCCUAAGUCGGAUUAGCUAGUUGGUGGGGUAAAGGCCUACCAAGGCGACGAUCUGUAGCGGGUCUGAGAGGAUGAUCCGCCACACUGGGACUGAGACACGGCCCAGACUCCUACGGGAGGCAGCAGUGGGGAAUAUUGGACAAUGGGGGGAACCCUGAUCCAGCCAUGCCGCGUGUGUGAAGAAGGCCUUAUGGUUGUAAAGCACUUUAAGCGAGGAGGAGGGUACUUUAGUUAAUACCUAGAGAUAGUGGACGUUACUCGCAAAAUAAGCACCGGCUAACUCUGUGCCAGCAGCCGCGGUAAUACAAAGGGUGCGAGCGUUAAUCGGAUUUACUGGGCGUAAAGCGUGCGUAGGCGGCUUAUUAAGUCGGAUGUGAAAUCCCCGAGCUUAACUUGGGAAUUGCAUUCGAUACUGGUGAGCUAGAGUAUGGGAGAGGAUGGGAGAAUUCCUGGUGUAGCGGAGAAAUGCGUAAAGAUCUGGAGGAAUACCGAUGGCGAAGGCAGCCAUCUGGCCUAAUACUGACGCUGAGGUACGAAAGCAUGGGGAGCAAACAGGAUUAGAUACCCUGGUAGUCCAUGCCGUAAACGAUGUCUACUAGCCGUUGAGGGCCUUUGAGGCUUUAGUGGCGCAGCUAACGCGAUAAGUAGACCGCCUGGGAGAGUACGGUCGCAAGACUAAAACUCAUAUGAAUUGACGGGGGCCCCGCACAAGCGGUGGAGCAUGUGGUUUAAUUCGAUGCACGCGAAAACCUUACCUGGCCUUGACAUACUAGAAACUUUCCAGAGAUGUAUUGGUGCCUUCGAGAAUCUAG
rnacentral:rRNA from 1 species